UAGCGGAGGAAAAGAAACCAACUGAGGAUUACCUUAGUAACGGCGAGUGAAGCGGUAAAAGCUCAAAUUUGAAAUCUGGUACUUUCAGUGCCCGAGUUGUAAUUUGUAGAAUUUGUCUUUGAUUAGGUCCUUGUCUAUGUUCCUUGGAACAGGACGUCAUAGAGGGUGAGAAUCCCGUUUGGCGAGGAUACCUUUUCUCUGUAAGACUUUUUCGAAGAGUCGAGUUGUUUGGGAAUGCAGCUCAAAGUGGGUGGUAAAUUCCAUCUAAAGCUAAAUAUUGGCGAGAGACCGAUAGCGAACAAGUACAGUGAUGGAAAGAUGAAAAGAACUUUGAAAAGAGAGUGAAAAAGUACGUGAAAUUGUUGAAAGGGAAGGGCAUUUGAUCAGACAUGGUGUUUUUUUAAUGUGCAAGUCUCUCGUGGACAUGUGCCUCUGGAAAUUAACACUGGGCCAACAUCAGUUCUGGCGGCAGGAUAAAUCAUUAAGAAUGUAGCUACCUCGGUAGUGUUAUAGCUUUUUGGAAUACUGCCAGCUGGGAUUGAGGACUGCGCUUCGGCAAGGAUAGUUGGCAUAAUGGUUAAAUGCCGCCCGUCUUGAAACACGGACC
rnacentral:rRNA from 2 species